AGCUUUGCGCAGUGGCAGUAUCGUAGCCAAUGAGGUUUAUCCGAGGCGCGAUUAUUGCUAAUUGAAAAAGUAAAUGAAUAAUAUACAGUCAUCCAUCCACAGAGGAUUAAUUCCAGGAUCUUCCCCCUG
rnacentral:snRNA from 1 species